rnacentral:rRNA from 1 species
AGAGUUUGAUCAUGGCUCAGGAUGAACGCUAGCGGCAGGCCUAAUACAUGCAAGUCGAACGCUCAGUAGCAAUACUGGGAGUGGCGCACGGGUGCGUAACGCGUACACAAUCUACCUCUAAGCGGGGGACACCUCCUGGAAACGGGGAUUAAUACCGCAUAAUAUGCCGAGGUCGCAUGACUUUGGUAUUAAAGCAGCAAUGCACUUAGAGAUGAGUGUGCGUCCCAUUAGGUAGUUGGUGAGGUAACGGGCUCACCAAGCCUAUGAUGGGUAGCCGGUCUGAGAGGAUGGUCGGCCACACGGGCACUGAGACACGGGCCCGACUCCUACGGGAGGCAGCAGUAAGGAAUAUUGGUCAAUGGUGGAAACACUGAACCAGCCAUGCCGCGUGGAGGAAUAAGGUCCUACGGAUUGUAAACUCCUUUUGACGAGGAAGAAAGUGUUAGAUUUAUCUAAUUUUGACGGUACUCGUAGAAUAAGCACCGGCUAACUCCGUG